AGAUGGAUCAUUUAUAUUUAUGUCAUUAUUUAGUGGUCGAUAUGGCUGAGUCAUGUGAACUAUAUGAAUUGAGAGGAAUUGGUUGGUUGCACGAAUUUUGCGAAUUGAGGGAAAUUGGUUAACAUUCAUAAUGAGAUUAUAUUAUUAUUCUACGACCUUCAGCGAUGGAUGUCUCGGAUCUCGUGACGAUGAAGAACGCAGCUAGUUGCGAUAUGCAAUGUGACUUGCAAACUUCUGAGAAUCAUUAGAUUUUUGAACGCAAAAGGUGCUCCUAGGUCACUGCUUAGGAGCAUGUUCGCUUCAGUGCUUUAUAUCUUUGUUGUCUUGCUUAGUAGACAACGUGUGUAGAUGCUGGUAAGACAGCUUCUGUAAUUUAGUGAUCAAAAGCUACUUUGGUAUUUCCUGAAGGCGCGUGAUCGGAUUGAUUUACAAAUAAGCCUGAAUUUGAGCAAGGUUACCCGCUGAAUUUAAGCAUAUUAUUAAGCGGUGGAAGAGAAACUAACUAGGAUUCCCUUAGUAACGGCGAGUGAACAGGGAAAAGCUCAAACUGAAAAUCAAUAGUAUACUAUUGAAUUGUAGUUUCGCGAAGUGCAACCUGUGUUUAUUCUAGGUUAAGUCUCUUGGAAAAGGGUACCAAAGAGGGUGAAAGUCCCGUCUAUACCUAGAGUCGUUCACGUUCGGUGCAUUUUCAAAGAGUCGCGUUCCUUGAGAUUGGAGCGCUAACUGGGUGAUAAAUUUCAUCUAAAGCUAAAUACUGACGAGAUUCCGAUAGCAUACAAGUACCGUGAGGGAAAGAUGAAAAGGACUUUGGGAAGAGAGUUAAAAGGAACUGAAAUUGCUGAAGGGUAAGCGGAGGGUUUUGGCUGUUUAGUGGAGCUUGUAUUGAGCUCCGCGGUAACACUGGAAGGUGAUUGUGCUUACCGAGUAAAGCAUUGAUGGAGUCCCUACAGGGUUGACUUCUUUGCUGUUUUCGGGUCGAGCGAUCAUUUAGCUACUGUUAUACAUUAGUGGUAGCAGUUUAGCCUCCAGCAAUGUCGAUUCUCUCCGUCCCGUCUUGAAACACGGACCAAGGAGUCUAACUUAUAUGCGAGUACAAAGGUGUAAAACCUACGUGCGGAAUGAAAGUAAUAAUCAGGAAGGGUAACCUGCACUGAUACCCGGUUAUUAAGCUGAGGUUGAGCAUAUAUGUUAGGACCCGAAAGAUGGUGAACUAUGCCUGAGUAGGGUGAAGCCAGAGGAAACUCUGGUGGAAGCUCGUAGCGAUACUGACGUGCAAAUCGUUCGUCAAACUUGGGUAUAGGGGCGAAAGACUAAUCGAACCAUCUAGUAGCUGGUUCCCUC
rnacentral:misc_RNA from 1 species